AGGGCCAUAGCUCAGUGGUAGAGCAUCUGCUUUGCAUGCAGAAGGUCCCGGGUUCAAUCCCUGGUGACUCCA